UACGAAGGGGGCUAGCGUUGCUCGGAAUCACUGGGCGUAAAGCGCACGUAGGCGGAUCGUUAAGUCGGGGGUGAAAUCCUGGAGCUCAACUCCAGAACUGCCUUUGAUACUGAAGAUCUUGAGUUCGGGAGAGGUGAGUGGAACUGCGAGUGUAGAGGUGAAAUUCGUAGAUAUUCGCAAGAACACCAGUGGCGAAGGCGGCUCACUGGCCCGAUACUGACGCUGAGGUGCGAAAGCGUGGGGAGCAAACAGGG
rnacentral:rRNA from 1 species